UACGGAGGGGGCUAGCGUUGUUCGGAAUUACUGGGCGUAAAGCGCACGUAGGCGGCUUUGUAAGUUAGAGGUGAAAGCCCGGGGCUCAACUCCGGAAUUGCCUUUAAGACUGCAUCGCUAGAACGUCGGAGAGGUAAGUGGAAUUCCGAGUGUAGAGGUGAAAUUCGUAGAUAUUCGGAAGAACACCAGUGGCGAAGGCGACUUACUGGACGACUGUUGACGCUGAGGUGCGAAAGCGUGGGGAGCAGACAGG
rnacentral:rRNA from 1 species